rnacentral:rRNA from 1 species
UACAGGGGGUGCAAACGUUGCUCGGAAUCAUUGGGCGUAAAGCGCACGUAGGCGGUUCGUUAUGUCGGAUGUGAAAGCCCUUGGCUUAACCGAGGAAGUGCAUCCGAAACUGGCGAGCUAGAGUACGAAAGAGGAUCGCGGAAUUCCCGGUGUAGAGGUGAAAUUCGUAGAUAUCGGGAGGAACACCGGUGGCGAAGGCGGCGAUCUGGGAAGAUACUGACGCUGAGGUGCGAAAGCGUGGGGAGCAAACAGG